rnacentral:rRNA from 1 species
CAACUCGCCUGCACGAAGUCGGAAUUGCUAGUAAUCGUAGGUCAGCAUACUACGGUGAAUACGUUCCCGGGCCUUGUACACACCGCCCGUCAAACCAUGAGAGUUGGCAACACCCGAAGUCGGUAGUCUAACCGCAGGGAGGACGCCGCCGAAGGUGGGGUUGAUGAUUAGGGUUAAGUCGUAACAAGGUACC